UACGGGGGGGGCAAGCGUUGUUCGGAAUUACUGGGCGUAAAGGGCUCGUAGGCGGCCAACUAAGCCAGACGUGAAAUCCCUCGGCUUAACCGGGGAACUGCGUCUGAUACUGGAUGGCUUGAGUUUGGGAGAGGGAUGCGGAAUUCCAGGUGUAGCGGUGAAAUGCGUAGAUAUCUGGAGGAACACCGGUGGCGAAGGCGGCAUCCUGGACCAACACUGACGCUGAGUGAGCGAAAGCCAGGGGAGCAAACGGG
rnacentral:rRNA from 1 species